GGGCCCGCACAAGCGGUGGAGUAUGUGGUUUAAUUCGAUGCAACGCGAAGAACCUUACCAGGGUUUGACAUCCUGCGAAUCUCUUGGAAACGAGAGAGUGCCUUCGGGAACGCAGUGACAGGUGGUGCAUGGCUGUCGUCAGCUCGUGUCGUGAGAUGUUGGGUUAAGUCCCGCAACGAGCGCAACCCACGUCUUUAGUUGCCAGCAUUAGUUGGGCACUCUAGAGAGACUGCCGGUGAUAAACCGGAGAAGGUGUGGAUGACGUCAAGUCAUCAUGCCCCUUACAUCUGGGCUACACACGUACUACAAUGCUACGGACAAAGGGCAGCAAUACCGCGAGGUGGAGCAAAUCUCUUAAAGCUUGUCUC
rnacentral:rRNA from 1 species